UUGCAGAGGACGGGGACCGUUAAAAACUACUAUGGAUGUUAUCAAUGCAGCUAAGAAAAUAUCAAAAGCUGGUACAAAGCUGGAUAAACUUACCAGAGGAAUUGCAGAACAAUGUCCAGAAAGCAGCACAAAAAAGGACUUGCUUGCCUAUUUACAACGUAUUGCCCUAUAUUGUCAUCAAAUCCAAAUAACGUCAAAAGUAAAAGCUGACGUUCGUGGGCUGGAUAGCGCAACAUAGUUGAUUCAAGCCGCCAAAAAUUUAAUGAAUGCGGUUGUAUUAACAGUAAAAUACUCAUAUUUGGCCUCGACGAAAUAUACUAGGCAAGGAACUGUGUCUUCUCCAAUUGUAGUAUGGAAAAUGAAAGCUCCA